GGAGAGAAGGCAGUCACAAGGUCCAGGAUCUCACUAUUUGGUUGCCUUUGGCCUAUCUGGAUUCCUGUCCGGUAUCAUUGAUUCUGGUUUUAAAAAUCUUAUCUGAUCUCCCCCAAACCCUUGAAGACAGUUUAUAAUUGGCUAUGGGCAAUUUUUGAACUCAAAU